GCGAGCGGCGGACGGGUGAGUAAUGUCUGGGGAUCUGCCUGAUGGAGGGGGAUAACCACUGGAAACGGUGGCUAAUACCGCAUAACGUCGCAAGACCAAAGUGGGGGACCUUCGGGCCUCACGCCAUCGGAUGAACCCAGAUGGGAUUAGCUAGUAGGUGGGGUAAUGGCUCACCUAGGCGACGAUCCCUAGCUGGUCUGAGAGGAUGAUCAGCCACACUGGGACUGAGACACGGCCCAGACUCC
rnacentral:rRNA from 1 species